GGAAGCAAGCUUGUAUAAAGGUCAAUGUGGAGCCCUUCCAGCCGUGCUGAGAGGAUUUGUUUGUGUGGAACCUGGUGGCUUGUGUUGCCAUGGUAAUUCUAGUUUUGAGGCAUGUUGAAGAAUUUGUCUGAGUGGCAGAAGCUUUCUACGCGGCCCGAGGAGAUAGCCAUGUGCCUUUGCUACCACUCAUAUUUGAGAGGUGACUUCGACAAGAUGACUUUGACAAAGUGACUUUGACUUGACAGACAUAUUAACACGAAACAGGCUAUGUCUACCACAUUCUACAAGUUUCUUUCACCACGAAAGAGGCCAGGAAGCUGGCUUCUGGCCCCACAGGGGAGUCCUCCCAAUAUGCUUGUUUUCCCUGGACUCUCCCAGAUUGAGAUGUUAGCACAGUUGAAGGAUAACUUUUCAACUGUCCUACUGCCUGACCUUGAGCUCGAUUAAUGGGUCCCUGCAUGAUUUCUCGGAAGGAUGCAGAGGUAACAUGGUUCACCAAUGGCAACAGCCUCAUUCAGGAUGGACAGAGGUACGCUGGGGCAGUGGUGGACUCAAACACCAAGAUCAUAUGGGCAGAGUUAAUCCUGGAAGGAACGUCAGACCAAAAAGCUGAACUGGCAGCUCUGACCAAGGCGAUAGAGCUGAGAAAAGACAAGAGACACAGAUAGCCAUGUGCCUUUGCUUACCACUCAUAUCUGUGGGGCUAUUGACAGGGUGAGAGGCCUUCUGACAGCAGAAGGAAGAACUAAACUGCAUUCUAGAGGACA
rnacentral:lncRNA from 1 species